AUUGAACGCUGGCGGCAGGCCUAACCCCUGCAAGUCGAACGAGUGGCGGACGGGUGAGUCAUGUCUGGGAAACUGCCUGAUGGAGGGGGAUAACUACUGGAAACGGUAGCUAAUACCGCAUACCAUCGGAUGUACCCAGAUGGGAUUAGUUAGUAGGUGGGGUAAAGGCUCACCUAGGCGACGAUCCCUAGCUGGUCUGAGAGGCAGACAAGCAACACUGGAACGGAGACACGGCCCAGACUCCUACGGGAGGAAGCAGUGGGGAAUAUUGCACAAUGGGCGAAAGCCUGCUGCAGCCAUGCCGCGUGUAUGAAGAAGGCCUUCGGGUUGUAAAGUACGUUCAGCGGGGAGGCGUUACCCGCAGAAGAAGCACCGGCUAACUCCGUGCCAGCAGCCGCGGUAAUAC
rnacentral:rRNA from 1 species